rnacentral:rRNA from 1 species
GUGCCAGCAGCCGCGGUAAGACAGAGGGGGCAAGCGUUGUCCGGACUGACUGGGCGUAAAGCGCGCGCAGGCGGACGCGGGCGUCGGUGCGGAAAGGUCGCCGCUUAACGGCGGAGAGCGUACCGAUACGCCGCGUCUGGAGCGCGGGCGAGGGUGGUGGAAUUGCCGGUGUAGUGGUGAAAUGCGUAGAGAUCGGCAGGAACACCCGUGGCGCAAGCGGCCACCUAGCCCGUUGCUGACGCUGAGGCGCGACAGCGUGGGGAGCGAACUGGAUUAGAUACCCUAGUAGUCC